rnacentral:rRNA from 1 species
UACUAUUUAAAAUUUAAAUAUAAAUGCUUAAGUAGUAAUAGUUAUGUUCUUGAAACUUAAAAAAUUUGGCGGUAUUUUAGUCUAUCCAGAGGAACCUGUUUUGUAAUCGAUAAUCCACGAUGGACCUUACUUAAAUUUGUAAUCAGUUUAUAUACCGUCGUUAUCAGAAUAUUUUAUAAGAAUAAUAAUAUUCAAUAAUUUUUAUUAGAAUUUAUAUCAGAUCAAGGUGUAGCUUAUAUUUAAGUAAUAAUGGGUUACAAUAAAUUUAUUUAAAUGAAUAAAAUUAUGAAAAAAUUUUUGAAGGUGGAUUUGGUAGUAAAAUUAUAAAGAUCAAUAAUUUGAUUUUAGCUCUAAAAUAUGUACACAUCGCCCGUCGCUCUUAUUAUUAAGGUAAGAUAAGUCGUAACAUAGUAGAUGUACUGGAAAGUGUAUCUAGAAUGA